rnacentral:rRNA from 1 species
CGUUCGUCCUAGCCUAUACACAUGCAAGUCGAGCGGAUGAGGGAGCUUGCUCCUGGAUUCAGCGGCGGACGGGUGAGUAAUGCCUAGGAAUCUGCCUGGUAGUGGGGGAUAACGUCCGGAAACGGGCGCUAAUACCGCAUACGUCCUGAGGGAGAAAGUGGGGGAUCUUCGGACCUCACGCUAUCAGAUGAGCCUAGGUCGGAUUAGCUAGUUGGUGGGGUAAAGGCCUACCAAGGCGACGAUCCGUAACUGGUCUGAGAGGAUGAUCAGUCACACUGGAACUGAGACACGGUCCAGACUCCUACGGGAGGCAGCAGUGGGGAAUAUUGGACAAUGGGCGAAAGCCUGAUCCAGCCAUGCCGCGUGUGUGAAGAAGGUCUUCGGAUUGGAAAGCACUUUAAGA